rnacentral:misc_RNA from 1 species
GUUGGGCUCCCACUCGGCAGCUACGUGCAGCGGACUGAAGCCCUGAGACAACCCUAAACCCUAAUUAUCUCCGUCUCGAACUUCCCCUCCGUGACAACCAUCACCAUGGCUGAACUCAAGCUCUCUGAAAGCCGAGACCUGACCCGAAUUGAGCGCAUAGGCGCCCACUCCCACAUCCGUGGACUUGGUCUUGACUCCGCCCUUGAACCCCGCGCUGUCUCCGAGGGCAUGGUUGGCCAGACUGCAGCCAGAAAGGCCGCCGGCGUCAUCCUACAGAUGAUAAAGGAUGGGAAAAUAGCCGGUCGAGCCGUUCUUCUGGCGGGCCAGCCGGGUACCGGAAAAACAGCAAUUGCAAUGGGCAUGGCGAAAUCGCUUGGCCUCGAAACCCCAUUCGCUAUGAUCUCUGGCAGCGAAAUCUUCUCGUUGGAGAUGUCUAAAACCGAAGCACUAAUGCAAGCCUUUCGAAAAGCAAUUGGCGUGAGAAUUAAAGAAGAAACCGAGAUAAUCGAAGGCGAAGUCGUUGAAGUGCAAAUCGAUAGGCCGGCGGUAGCUGGUGCAGCGUCGAAGACAGGUAAAUUGACACUAAAAACGACCGAAAUGGAGACGGUUUAUGAUUUGGGGGCGAAGAUGAUAGAAGCAUUGGGGAAGGAAAAAGUUCAAAGUGGGGAUGUAAUUGCAAUCGAUAAGGCGUCUGGAAAAAUUACAAAGCUUGGGAGGUCAUUUUCACGGUCGAGGGACUACGAUGCCAUGGGUCCGCAGGUGAAGUUUGUUCAGUGCCCCGAUGGUGAGCUGCAGAAGAGGAAAGAGGUGGU